GAUGAAGAACGCAGCGAAAUGCGAUAAGUAGUGUGAAUUGCAGAAUUCAGUGAAUCAUCGAAUCUUUGAACGCACAUUGCGCCCCUUGGUAUUCCAUGGGGCAUGCCUGUUCGAGCGUCAUUUGUACCUUCAAGCUCUGCUUGGUGUUGGGUGUUUGUCUCGCCUCUGCGUGUAGACUCGCCUCAAAACAAUUGGCAGCCGGCGUAUUGAUUUCGGAGCGCAGUACAUCUCGCGCUUUGCACUCAUAACGACGACGUCCAAAUGUACAUUUUUACACUCUUGACCUCGGAUCAGGUAGGGAUACCCGCUGAACUUAAGCAUAUCAAUAAGCGGAGGA
rnacentral:misc_RNA from 1 species